ensembl:lncRNA
CAGAUAACCAAGAACGUCCCAGAUAGGUUCUCUAUUCGUAAUAUAUUGGUAACUUCAUGACUUACUGGCAACGUAACUACGACGUCGUUUGCACGUAAUUUCAUUACCAUAACUUUUGUUCUUUAUAUGCUUUCUGAGUAUAGUGAUAUUUAAAAAGUGUAAUUAAACUUCAGACACAAGAUUAAACGUUCCUUAAAGAUAAAAUGUGUUUCUUUUCACCAAGUCAGAAUAUGGACAUGCUUUUAAUAUAUAAUGACGUGACAUACAGCGCGCGCGCUUCCACAGCUGACACACCGCGCGCACAGUAUACUGACAAGAAAGGAAAUACAUUUUUUCUGAGUUGUGAAACUUUCUAUUUCGUAAGGAGUUAUGAACGUGAAAUAAUGACACAGACUGGCUAUACCAUCUCAUCUGCCGCAGAUACUGUAUCAGGAGGACAGCGCGUUUGUUUGAGGCACUUUUCACUUCAACUGUGUCUGACCGGAGAAUUAGCUUUUCUGAGCCUAUUAGCCGUUGAGAGUUACCAUGGCAACCGCGGACACAUCAGCUGCUGGAGAGGAGAGGACGCGUCUGACACUUUCUCUGUUUCUCGUCAGUUAUACCAAAGAAAAGUUCAACAACUGCGACAGAUUGCUUAAUUUGUUUAUUUCUAAUAAGGAGCUGGAGGCCGUGGAGAAGCAGAUCCGUGACCUCGUGGAGAAGCAGGCUCAGCUGAGAGAGCGGAGAGCCGUGAUGGAAACAUUCAGGGGUUGAUGCUCAUAAGUCCAGUGCCCGGUGUACCCAGGACGCAAUCUUCCCAGAUGUCCUUCACCCUGUGCCACAGCGGAAGACAUGAGCCAGGUCCUGGGGGACAACCUCUCUCCCCCCGUCGCCUCCGGUCUUCGGGAACUCCACUGGAAUCCGAUUUCCUCCACUUCACGAGACAGAACACGACUCUGUGUUCGUCGGAGACUCCAUCAUCCGGCAUAUUCGUGCUAUGUUAGCUGGAGGUAAUGUGCACACUCACUGUUUCCCUGGUGCUCGUGUUCUUGAUAUUUCUGCGCAGAUACCCGUGAUCCUGAAGGGUGAAGAGAGCAUCGGAGCGGUCGUGCUUCACGCCGGGGUUAACAACACCAAAGCUGCGGCAGACGCAGACACUAAAGAGGGACUUCAGGAGCCUGAUCGAGAUGGUGUGCAGCAUAUCGCCUGCACGAUGAUCAUCAUCUCAGCACCUUUUCUCAUGUAUAGAUGAGGACACGAAAGGUUCAGUAGAGUUUUUGCUCUAAAUGAAUGGUUAUUGUCAUGGUGUAAAGAACAGAAACUGCUCUUUGUUAAUAAUUGGAAUCUUUUCUGGAAGCGUCCUAGGCUUUUUCGCGCUGAUGGCCUGAACACCAGCAGAGUCGGAGCGGAGCUGCUCUCGGACAACAUCUCCAGGACUCUACGCUCCAUUUGACUAGGCAGUUUGUGAAGACAGAUAAUCAAGAGAUGUGACAAACUGUACAGAAGUCAGUUCCAGAUCCACCCUCCACACCAGACCUCUCUCAUAUGGACUGCUGUCUACUAGCAUACUUCGGUGGAUGCAGAUAUUACUCAGGGACAUGAACACUUGAAUAUUGCAAGCAUAGAGAAAGUAAGAAUUACUGAAGAUUUAAGAAUUUAAUAUUAAUUGCUUAAACAUUAUAUAUACUGUUUUAGCAAUUAACAUUAAUAGUUUUUUUUUUGUUUGUUUUUUUGGUGUCCAAAGCACCUAAAAGCCAAUUCACACCGCCAUACUCCAGCAGUUCAAACAAAAUAAGCAUGUUUUUUAAAUAGUUUUUUUGGCAGUGUGAACUGGCCAUAAUGCUGUAUGUUAGGUGUGAGAUUCAUUAAACCUGAUUUGCUAUAAUACAUCUGUUCAUAAGAUAUUGCAUAUGAUUUUCAGUUAAUUAUUUGUAGUGGUUUGGUUAAGGGUGCGAUUAGCUGAUGUAUUAUUGUGGGAGCAUGUGAUUAGUUGAUGUGUGCAUGGUUAAUGAUGGCUCUCUUAAAUAUUUAAAUGCAAUGGGCUGAGUGCCUACUAAGACUUGAAUAUUUGUGCAUAAUGUUUUGAUCCUGGAUGCUUACAGAAGGAUAUAGAUAUUUAAAUAUAUGGACAUUUAUUUAUUAUUAAUAUAUUUUAAUCUAUGUGCUUCUGUAUGGGCUGAAUGCUUUCAUUCAUAUUUUGCUGUAUAUCCUAUGUUUUUAUUAAUAAUUUGGGUGUAUUACUGGUCAUAUUUGUUUGUUAAUAAAUGAACUGAAUUCAUUUCGAGUCUGUAUUCAUCAUUCACAGCUGCUGAAACAGCCUUUAAAUUAG